rnacentral:misc_RNA from 1 species
UCUCCGUUGGUGAACCAGCGGAGGGAUCAUUACAGGAAGCCGAAAGGCUACUUAAAACCAUCGCGAACUGUUCCAAGUUGCUUCGGCGGCGCGGUGCCCCUAACAGGGCGCCGCAGCCCGGCCUCUCCGGAGGCGCGGGGCGCCCGCCGGAGGUACGAAACUCUGUAUUUUAGUGGCAUCUCUGAGUGUAAAGCAAAUAAGUCAAAACUUUCAACAACGGAUCUCUUGGCUCUG